rnacentral:tmRNA from 1 species
GGGGGUGUAAUGGUUUCGACAUGCAUGGACUAUUAGUUAUUGCAGUAGUUUGGCAGACUAUAAUGCUUCUAGGUAUUUCUUAAACGGAAAUAAAGAAGAAAAAGCUGAAUACUCAGCAUGAAACCCAGCUUUCGCUGGAAAUACAAGCCUAGCUUUUGCCUAAUUUGCAAUUCUAGCCGUGAUCAAUUUUUCCUGGAAAUUGAUUAACGAGUCAACAGGAUAGUUUAAAUUGAUUCUAAUAAAUUUAAAUGAAAUUAAUUAGGAAUUGUAUUAAUAUGUUUGAUUAUUUAAUGCUAAUAUAAUUUAAUAAAAAAUAAUCUAAACUGUAGACAUAGCUAAAAAAUUCAUGUGUGGACCCGGGUUCGACUCCCGGCAUCUCCACCA